rnacentral:rRNA from 1 species
GACGAACGCUGGCGGCGUGCUUAACACAUGCAAGUCGAACGGAAAGGCCCUGCUUGCCGGGUACUCGAGUGGCGAACGGGUGAGUAACACGUGGGUGAUCUGCCCUGCACUUCGGGAUAAGCCUGGGAAACUGGGUCUAAUACCGGAUAGGAGCCAUUUUUAGUGUGAUGGUUGGAAAGUUUUUUCGGUGUAGGAUGAGCUCGCGGCCUAUCAGCUUGUUGGUGGGGUAAUGGCCUACCAAGGCGGCGACGGGUAGCCGGCCUGAGAGGGUGGACGGCCACAUUGGGACUGAGAUACGGCCUAGACUCCUACGGGAGGCAGCAGUGGGGAAUAUUGCACAAUGGGCGCAAGCCUGAUGCAGCGACGCCGCGUGGGGGAUGACGGCCUUCGGGUUGUAAACUCCUUUCGCUAGGGACGAAGCUUUUUGUGACGGUACCUAGAUAAGAAGCACCGGCUAACUACGUG